CCCAUUGAUUGACGGUGCUUGCACCUGAUUGAUUUUGGUCGCCAACGAGUGGCGGACGGGUGAGUAACACGUAGGUAACCUGCCCAGAAGCGGGGGACAACAUUUGGAAACAGAUGCUAAUACCGCAUAACAACGUUGUUCGCAUGAACAACGCUUAAAAGAUGGCUUCUCGCUAUCACUUCUGGAUGGACCUGCGGUGCAUUAGCUUGUUGGUGGGGUAACGGCCUACCAAGGCGAUGAUGCAUAGCCGAGUUGAGAGACUGAUCGGCCACAAUGGGACUGAGACACGGCCCAUACUCCUACGGGAGGCAGCAGUAGGGAAUCUUCCACAAUGGGCGCAAGCCUGAUGGAGCAACACCGCGUGAGUGAAGAAGGGUUUCGGCUCGUAAAGCUCUGUUGUUAAAGAAGAACACGUAUGAGAGUAACUGUUCAUACGUUGACGGUAUUUAACCAGAAAGUCACGGCUAACUACGUGCCAGCAGCCGCGGUAAUACGUAGGUGGCAAGCGUUAUCCGGAUUUAUUGGGCGUAAAGAGAGUGCAGGCGGUUUUCUAAGUCUGAUGUGAAAGCCUUCGGCUUAACCGGAGAAGUGCAUCGGAAACUGGAUAACUUGAGUGCAGAAGAGGGUAGUGGAACUCCAUGUGUAGCGGUGGAAUGCGUAGAUAUAUGGAAGAACACCAGUGGCGAAGGCGGCUACCUGGUCUGCAACUGACGCUGAGACUCGAAAGCAUGGGUAGCGAAC
rnacentral:rRNA from 1 species